rnacentral:rRNA from 1 species
UACGUAGGCAGCGAGCGUUGUUCGGAGUUACUGGGCGUAAAGAGUAUGUAGGCGGUUCUGUAAGUCUGGUGUGAAAUCUCCCGGCUCAACUGGGAGGGUGCGCCGGAAACUGCAGGGCUAGAGUGUGGGAGAGGAAAGCGGAAUUCCUGGUGUAGCGGUGAAAUGCGUAGAUAUCAGGAGGAACACCGGCGGUGUAGACGGCUUUCUGGACCAUUACUGACGCUGAGAUACGAAAGCGUGGGGAGCAAAC